AUUCCAGCUCCAAUAGCGUACACUAAAGUUGUUGCAGUUAAAAAGCUCGUAGUCUAAUGUAUGGGAGUUGCGGUGUGGGUGUUUGGUUGGUUUUGCCGACUAGACAAUACUCGCUCCGCUUCCCGCUUGUUUUGCUCUCUUUUCUAGAAGGCAAAUGUUUCACUGUAAGUAAAACAACUCGCUCAACAGCAAGGUUAUCUUGAUAUGAAUUAGUAUGGGAUGAUGAGAUAGGCUCGGUCCGUAUUUUGUUGGUUUUAGUGGUCUGAGAAUGAUGAAGAGGGACAAUUGGGGGUAUUCGUAUUUACAUGUCAGAGGUGGAAUUCUUGGAUUUUGGAAAGACGAACUAAUGCGAAAGCAUCUACCAAAGAUGUUUUCAUUG
rnacentral:rRNA from 1 species